rnacentral:rRNA from 1 species
CCUANGGGGGGCUGCAAUUAGGAAUCUUGCGCAAUGGGCGAAAGCCUGACGCAGCGACGUCGCGUGACCGAUGAAGUCUUUCGGGAUGUAAAGGUCUUUUUUGGGGGAAGAAGGAUGUGACGGUACCCCAAGAAUAAGCCCCGGCUAACUACGUGCCAGCAGCCGCGGUAAUACGAAGGGGGCUAGCGUUGUUCGGAAUUACUGGGCGUAAAGCGCACGUAGGCGGGUCGUUAAGUCAGGGGUGAAAUCCCGGAGCUCAACUCCGGAACUGCCUUUGAUACUGGCGAUCUAGAGAUCGGAAGAGGUUAGUGGAAUUCCCAGUGUAGAGGUGAAAUUCGUAGAUAUUGGGAAGAACACCAGUGGCGAAGGCGGCUAACUGGUCCGAUACUGACGCUGAGGUGCGAAAGCGUGGGGAUCAAACAGGAUUAGAUACCCCUNUANUC